rnacentral:rRNA from 1 species
AUUGAACGCUGGCGGCAGGCCUAACACAUGCCAGUCGAGCGGAUGAAGGGAGCUUGCUCCUGGAUUCAGCGGCGGACGGGUGAGUAAUGCCUAGGAAUCUGCCUGGUAGUGGGGGAUAACGUCCGGAAACGGGCGCUAAUACCGCAUACGUCCUGAGGGAGAAAGAGGGGGAGCUUCGGACCUCACGCUAUCAGAUGAGCCUAGGUCGGAUUAGCUAGUUGGUGGGGUAAAGGCCUGCCAAGGCGACGAUCCGUAACUGGUCUGAGAGGAUGAUCAGUCACACUGGAACUGAGACACGGUCCAGACUCCUACGGGAGGCAGCAGUGGGGAAUAUUGGACAAUGGGCGAAAGCCUGAUCCAGCCAUGCCGCGUGUGUGAAGAAGGUCUUCGGAUUGUAAAGCACUUUAAGUUGGGAGGAAGGGCAGUAAGUUAAUACCUUGCUGUUUUGACGUUACCAACAGAAUAAGCACCGGCUAACUUCGUG